GUCAACUAACACCUCACGCCCCUGUCGCCAAAUUUCUCGCUCAAUCUGUCCUCCCUCAUCAUCGGCUCAUCCUCCUCUCUCGCUUCGUCCGCAAGAGGAGCGCACCAAUGCAUCCUUCUCUCCGGUCGGGUGUCAACUAACCCCCGCGCACCCGUCACCAAAUUUCUCGCUCAGUCCGUCCAUCUCCCUCCUCGCCCUUCUCUUCCGCUUCCUCAGCAAGAGGAGCGCACCCAUGCAUCCUUCUCUCCGAUCAGAACGAGUGGACACAGCAGCAUGUCACGAUCCAGCGGGGCCCGUCGGUGCACACGGAGAAGCUCAUGCCGCCGCCUCUAGCCGUCGGGUCCUACACGCGUGGUUCUAACCUGCGGUCGGCGUCGUCCUUCUCGUUCCGCGCCUCGGCCUCCAUCGCUGUCAUCGGCAGCCACCCCACCACCACAAGUAACUGCAAGAUGCCCCUUUCCUCCCUUCGUAUCAUGUCCAUCGUGCCCGCCUAUCUAUUCCCGUCGAUCUUCUACCUAUCUUACCCAAACUAUGAUCCUACGACCUCUCCUUGGCGUACAUGGUCUUGAGAAUUUGAGCUGACCCUUGUAUAUCCUAGAUAUUAGAUCUGCGUGAAACGUCUCACCCUGAGCAGGACGAGGGAGCGGCUGGUGCUGCAUAGCAACCGCACGUAGUGCUGGCUCGCCUGGCGCGAGGCUGACGUGAAGGUGAGCGAUGCGACGCAACACACGUGCUGGCGCUGGCGCGACCGGCGAACGCGCAUGCCAGGAGCCUGUGGCACCGCACACAGGCGUACAACAAGAAUGGCAUGUGGAUUAAUAAACUAAACACAUAAUUAAUUAGUUGAACUCCAAAAACUAUUGGGUUCCCACUUGCAUCCUUAAAUCCAGUUUCAGAAUAUAGUGUUACAAUACCUCAUUUGAUUUGUGUGGCUAUAAUGUUUUUUAAGUUUCUAUUGUUCUCUCUAUACUUAAAUGAUCUAUUUUUUCUAUGAACCUUGUUUUUCUAUGAUAUUGUUUCAAAAUAUAUGAAUUUAGUAAAUGUUGGCAUUGAUCAAUUUCAGUAUCAUGUCGAGAUAAGAUGAAAGAUGGCUUGAUGAGCACUAUCUCUGCCCUCGACAAAUUUGAACAGAGAGUUAAAGACUAUAUGGGUGUUUAUACCUUUUUUUGCAAGGCCAGAUCACAUUUUUCAAGGCUUUUUAAAAUGACUUAUUAUUUUUAUUUUCCUCCUAUGUUUGAGGUAAAGUUUCAUUUGCCUUUGUUCAUUGGGGACAUCUGUUGUACAUAUAUUUUGUUUAUUUCAUAUGAUAUAUGAUAUUUAUGGUAUAAGAAUGCUUGUCUGUAAACAAAAACUAGAGUUAAAUUAUUACCAGAAGUUAUAAUUGUGUAUUGCCAUGACCAACAAUGGUGUGGAGAAGAAAAACAAGAGCGACAGCAUGCGAUGCGCUAUGCACGCACGCAUGCAUUACUGCUCUCUUGUGCGUAGGAGGUGGAGGCAAACAAUCUGAAUGAAGCAGGUGAGCUUCUCAAGGAAGUCAAGGAGCAUUCCAAAAGGUGGCACUUGCCUUCUCCACAAUGACCAUCAUGCACUCAAUGGUGGGCAAAAUUAAGCUAGGCUUGCUCUGCUUGCUAGAAAGUAGAGAAGGCGGCUUGCCGUAGAUGAGGAUCACUGGCAUUGGCCACCCCAAUACUAUGUUCUUCCUAGCCGAGCAGAUUGAGGAUGAAGUACUAUGUCGGUUGAGCAAAUGUGCACAUGAAUUUGACUUGGCUUCAUUCAAGCUGUUCUCAUAAAAUAUAGUCUUUGUUCUUU